rnacentral:rRNA from 1 species
UACGGAGGGUGCAAGCGUUGCUCGGAAUUAUUGGGCGUAAAGGGCAAGUAGGUGGUCUUAUUUGUCUAGGGUGAAAGCCUUGAGCUUAACUCAAGAAGUGCCCUAGAAACGGUAAGACUAGAGUCCUGGAGAGGGUCGUGGAAUUCCCGGUGUAGCGGUGAAAUGCGUAGAGAUCGGGAGGAACACCAGAGGCGAAAGCGGCGACCUGGACAGGCACUGACACUCAACUGCGAAAGCGUGGGGAGCAAACAGG